CCUGCGGAAGGAUCAUUACCGAGUGAGGCCCCUCUGGGUCCAACCUCCCACCCGUGUUUAUUUUACCUUGUUGCUUCGGCGGGCCCGCCUUAACUGGCCGCCGGGGGGCUUACGCCCCCGGGCCCGCGCCCGCCGAAGACACCCUCGAACUCUGUCUGAAGAUUGUAGUCUGAGUGAAAAUAUAAAUUAUUUAAAACUUUCAACAACGGAUCUCUUGGUUCCGGCAUCGAUGAAGAACGCAGCGAAAUGCGAUACGUAAUGUGAAUUGCAAAUUCAGUGAAUCAUCGAGUCUUUGAACGCACAUUGCGCCCCCUGGUAUUCCGGGGGGCAUGCCUGUCCGAGCGUCAUUGCUGCCCUCAAGCACGGCUUGUGUGUUGGGCCCCGUCCUCCGAUCCCGGGGGACGGGCCCGAAAGGCAGCGGCGGCACCGCGUCCGGUCCUCGAGCGUAUGGGGCUUUGUCACCCGCUCUGUAGGCCCGGCCGGCGCUUGCCGAUCAACCCAAAUUUU
rnacentral:rRNA from 1 species